AAUCAUUCUGCAAAAGGAGCGAAGGGAAUAUGGAUGUAAAUUUUAUUCGGAUAUUUGUUUUCAUAUUAAUCUACAAAAACAUCUCGGUGACCACUGGUUUGAAAAUUAGGACUGCCAGGUUUCGGAUACAUCGUAAGAGCCAUGACCUUACUAGAUGUGCAACGAAAGUCUUAAAUCAAGACAGUUCUGUUGGUGGCAGAGUAUCGGACCAAUCAGGUGCCUGCGAAAUAGUAUAUGCCUUAAAUCAAAAUCAAACAAAGGAACCAGGAUACGGAUAUUUCGAAAAAGUGACUGUUAAAACAGACUUCAAACCAGCGGAUAGACGACAAGAAGAGAGAUUCACUAAUUACUAUUUACAAAAAUGCUGAGGUACAAUACACCGUCGAUUUCGAUUUAGAAACCAUGUGUCCAUUACCUGAUUGCAUGUUUACAGUUAUUUUCAAAGGCAGACAAAUAGAGAUUCUCGUCGAUGACCAACAAGUGCAAAACGGCACUUUUGAUUUUGAGGAGGCGUUUUUGAGACAGAUGAAGCGUGUAAAACUUUACUCAACCAUAAAUGAUGUUCAAACCAAUGGUUUUGAGAUGAUUCUGUAGGUGAAAUAUAGAAAUGAGCGUAUGACUUGAAAUAAUAACCUAAACGGCUAAAACAGAAAUGUCAAUAAUCACGAAAUCAUAUUUUUUUUUAAUUUUAUCUAGAAAUGACGUAGAAUAAUUAUUUUUAAAGCGGCAUAAUGAUUAAAGAUAGCUACAUGUUUAACAUAUGAUAAAAUAACAAAACAAACAUUUACCACUCACCUCUACAAAAGCAAUGCAGAAAUUAAAAUGAAAAUUGUCAAAGUAAAUAUUAUAUUUGUUUCCAUUUCAAAAGAAAAAAAAAAGAACAAUUUAAAGAAGAAACCAAUUUUUGCAUAUAUAUUUACAAGUAAUACUUUCAGUUUUCUUUAUCUCACAUAUUUUUUCUCGAAAUAAUCUAAAUCAAUCCAACUAAAAUACUUUAAUAACGUAGAGCAAACACCUUUAUUUCAAAUAAAAUCUUCUACACUUUCACUUGCUUUGAUGGAAAUUCUCAUAGUUUAUCAUCAUUUACAUUUAAUCCCUACCCCUAUCCCUUAACCUACAUAUCUUUUUUAAAAUGGACUUGUCCAGUUUCUAUUUUAUUCGGGAAAACAGGGUGAAAUGUGAAGUUGGUCAGCCUUGGACUAGCCGGACUGAAUCGAUUUACAGUCUGG